AAUGAGCCUGCGAGUUGUGGUGUCUGGCAAGGUUAAGCAAACGCGAAGCCGUAGCGAAAGCGAGUCUGAAUAGGGCGCUUAGUCAGAUGCUGCAGACCCGAAACGAAGUGAUCUAUCCAUGAGCAAGUUGAAGCUAGUGUAAGAACUAGUGGAGGACUGAACCCAUAGGCGUUGAAAAGCCCCGGGAUGACUUGUGGAUAGGGGUGAAAGGCCAAUCAAACUUCGUGAUAGCUGGUUCUCUCCGAAAUAUAUUUAGGUAUAGCGUUGUGUCGUAAUAUAAGGGGGUAGAGCACUGAAUGGGCUAGGGCAUACACCAAUGUACCAAACCCUAUCAAACUCCGAAUACCUUAUAUGUAAUCACAGCAGUCAGGCGGCGAGUGAUAAAAUCCGUCGUCAAGAGGGAAACAACCCAGACUACCAGCUAAGGUCCCUAAAUCUUACUUAAGUGGAAAACGAUGUGAAGUUACUUAAACAACCAGGAGGUUGGCUUAGAAGCAGCCAUCCUUUAAAGAAAGCGUAAUAGCUCACUGGUCUAGUGAUUUUGCGCGGAAAAUAUAACGGGGCUAAAGUAAGUACCGAAGCUGUAGACUUGCGCACAACUUAGAUUAUUUAAGUUUAGAAUAUGAGAAACUAAGUUAUAUUUUUACUGAUUUUUAUAGAGUAAAGAUAGAAAUAAAACUUAGUAAAAUCAGUAAAAAUAUUCUUAGGCUAAAGUUAAGUAGUUUAAGUUGUGUGCAAGUGGUAGGAGAGCGUUCUAUUUGCGUCGAAGGUAUACCGGUAAGGAGUGCUGGAGCGAAUAGAAGUGAGCAUGCAGGCAUGAGUAGCGAUAAUUAAUGUGAGAAUCAUUAACGCCGUAAACCCAAGGUUUCCUACGCGAUGCUCGUCAUCGUAGGGUUAGUCGGGUCCUAAGUCGAGUCCGAAAGGGGUAGACGAUGGCAAAUUGGUUAAUAUUCCAAUACCAACAUUAGUGUGCGAUGGAAGGACGCUUAGGGCUAAGGGGGCUAGCGGAUGGAAGUGCUAGUCUAAGGUCGUAGGAGGUU
rnacentral:rRNA from 1 species